ensembl:lncRNA
GGAUCACAGCAAUGGGGACCCCUAUAGGGACCCCUAUAAGGAUAUGGGGUUGGGACCCCCCCUUAAAGCCCCCAUAGGGAGAUGGAGGUGUGGACCCCCCCCCAUAAUUGGACCCCUAUAGGGACCCCAUUGAGUCCCACCCCCCCCUUACAAUCCCAUAUAGAGAUAUGGGGUUGCAGCCCCCCCCAUAGGGACCCCCAUAGGGCCGUGGGGGGGGGUGAGGACCCCCCCCAAAUGGGGUCUGUGGGGUGGGGGCUCACAGCUCUGCUUUCUCUUUGUAGGGUCUGCCAAUGGACGGCAACGAAGACGAGAGGUGUGGGGCUGCCCCAUAGCGAUGUGUGGCACUGCCCCAUAGGGUGCUCUGCCCCAUAGCGAUGUGUGGGGCUGCCCCAUAGCGUGCUGUGCUCCACAGCGACAUGUGGGGCUGCCCCAUAGAGUGCCCCAUAGCGACGUGUGGGACUGCCCCAUGGAGUGCUCUGCCCCAUAGCGACGUGUGGGGCUGCCCCAUAGCGUGCCCUGCCCCAUAGCGAUGUGCGGGGCUGCCCCAUAGAGUGCCCCAUAGAGCGCUGUGCCCCAUAGCGAUGUGUGGGACUGCCCCAUGGAGUGCUCUGCCCCAUAGCGACGUGUGGGACUGCCCCAUGGAGUGCUCUGCCCCAUAGCGACGUGUGGGACUGCCCCAUGGAGUGCUCUGCCCCAUAGCGACGUGUGGGGCUGCCCCAUAGCGUGCUCUGCCCCAUAGCGACGUGUGGGGCUGCCCCAUAGCGUGCUCUGCCCCAUAGUGACGUGUGGGGCUGCCCCAUAGAGUGCUGUGCCCCAAAGCGAUGUGUGGGGCUGCCCCAUAGGGUGCUGUGCCCUAUAGAGAUGUGUGGGGCUGCCCCAUAGAGCACUGUGCCCCAUAGUGACAUAUGGGGCUGCCCCAUAGAGCACUGUGCCCCAUAGCGACGUGUGGGGCUGCCCCAUAGCGUGCUGUGCCCCAUAGCAACGUGUGGGGCUGCCCCAUAGUGUGCUCUGCCCAAUAGCGAUGCGUGGGGCUGCCCCGUAGAGUGCUGUGCCCCAUAGAGUGCUCUGCCCCAUAGCGUGCUGUGCCCCAUAGCGACGUGUGGGGCUGCCCCAUAGAGCGCUGUGCCCCAUAGCCACGUGUGGGGCUGCCCCAUAGCGUGCUCUGCCCCAUAGCAACGUGUGGCGCUGCCCCAUAGAGUGCUCUGCCCCAUAGAGCGCUGUGCCCCACAGCGACGUGUGGGGCUGCCCCAUAGCGUGCUGUGCCCCACAGCGUGCUCUGCCCCAUAGAGCGCUGUGCCCCAUAGCAACGUGUGGGGCUGCCCCAUAGCGUGCUGUGCCCCAUAGCGAUGUGUGGGGCCACCCCAUAGAGCACUCUGCCCCAUAGCGACGUGUGGGGCUGCCCCAUAGCGUGCUGUGCCCCAUAGCGACGUGUGGGGCCGCCCCAUAGAGCACUCUGCCCCAUAGCGACGUGUGGGGCUGCCCCAUAGAGUGCUGUGCCCCAUAGCGACGUGUGGGGCUGCCCCAUAGAGCGCUGUGCCCCGUAACGAUGUG